AAGAACUGUUCUAUGCCUUGAACGUGCAAGGUCUUGUCUAAUCUUAAAAGCUAAGCAUGGUCGGGCCUGAUUAGUACUUGGAUGGGAGACCAACUUGGAAUACUAGGAGCUGUAGGUG
rnacentral:rRNA from 1 species